CAGCACAGUGGGGACAGACUGCGUGGUCCACUGGGUGGCUGUGCAGAUGCAGAAUGUGGGCACCCUUCCUGCCCAGGAAGGGGCUGGAGCCCCACCUGCUGUUGCAAUCUUAGGGCCAUCUACUGGUGACCUGAGCUGGUCCUCAGGACCCUUGUGAGCCCUGAGCCCUCUCUCCAUGCCCAGGUGCCCACCUGGACUAAUUGGCCAUGUUCCCUUGCUGCCCUGGCCUUGAUAAGGCUGUUGUGGGAGCUUUCGAAGCUGCCUGCAAGUUGGAGGAUCGAUGAUUGAGGAAUGUUCACCCCAUCCCCUAUCUACAGGGGUUGAUUAGUGUCCCCUUAAAAUGUGUCCACCCAGAACCCCAGAAUGACUGUCUUGCUUUCUUGUUGCUGGAACAGAAUACCUAACACCCACAAGUUAAAGGAGGCAAGGUUUAUUGCAGCUCAGAAUUUAUAGAGGUUUUGGUCCAUUGUUGUUUGGUUCCAAGGCAGGGCAGCAUGGCCGAGGAACAUAGCAGAGGAGAGAAACAGUCCAUGGCAGGGUAGGCAGGAAGCGAGCAGUGAGUCUUCCUUUCCCUUUUUCUUCCAUUCAGACUAUAAACCCAUUGGUUAGUUCCAUCCAUCCCCGGGGUGGGCCUUCCCAUUAUCCACACACAGAACUGUGGUAAUCCAAUCAGCGGACUAAUCCAGUUAUCAUGCACCCAUGAUCCAGUAUCACACACCCCUGAACCAGCCACCUCCCAAAAGCCCCACCUGGGAGUGCAUGAGGUUUUGGGGGACAUUUUAGAUGUAACAGUGACCUUAUUUGGGAAACAAGGUUUUUGUGGAUGUCAUUAAAGGAGGGGAUCAAAAUGAAUCUCAUUGCGUUAGGGGAGGUCCCACAACCUAAGGAAUGUUCUUAGGAGAGAGAAGGAAAUGAGACCUCACUCUCCCCUAUUCCCUUGGACUGCUGGAGGGGGUGUGGUCUCACCAACAGCUGUCACAUUGUCCCCUUACUCGUCCUUGCUUCCCUGAGGGUAGCAUGGGGCCACCAGCCCCAGUGUCUUCCUGCCACCACCAUUGUUGCUUUGGGAGCUAUCCUCUAUGCUGCACUGACAGGAGCUGCAUUCUUGGCUGACUGCAGUGAUUCCCCUGUCACUCUGGGCCACCAUUGCUGCCUCUCUAUGGAAUGGCUGAAAACUGGUGCUCAACAGGGCAAAGAUGGGGAGGACCAGGGGCCAUUGCUGCUAUCCCCGAAAUCCCUGAGCCUCAGAGGGUCAUGGUGACCACAGUAGCCUCUCCUGGAGUUCCCUCAAAAGCAGUGUUGGGCCAAGCUGUCACCAUGACAGCAGAGGUGUCUUAGAUGCCCCAGGGUGCUCCAGGAGAGGUUUGCUCUGGCUGAGGCAGGCUUGGAACAGAACUUUCCCAGAUGACUCCGCCCACCAGCCUCCAGAUGUCCCAUUCCCCUCUUUGUCACUACUUCCAAAGUCCCCAGCAUGAGUCCCUGGAGAGCUUCACUUGGCUCAUCCUAUUGCCCGCUCAGGAUUUUUAUCCUGUGUAGAGUGAGACCAGCAGGUUGCACUAAGAAGAGCUGCUGACACCAAGAACUCUGCCCCGAAGAGCUCCAGAGAGUGGCAGAACAAGGAUCCCAGACCAUCAGGGCCCUGCCAUGAGUGGUGGAGAACCCCAGAGAACAGCACAAGCUGCUGGAAGAGCUCUAGAAUGGUGUUGGGGGCCAUGAGCAGGGCUGCUGAGGCCAGGAGCCAUCAAGAGCUAUGACACUAAGAGCUAAGAGGUGCUGGCACUCAAAGCUUACAGCUGUGACACUAACAGCUGGCAGCUACUGGAACCAAAAGCCUGGAGCUGCUAACGUUAAAGGAGCUGCACUUGACAAUUUAUGAUUUCUCUCUGAAUUGAACAAGAGAACCCCCAGCUGGUUGGAAACACAGGAGACAGGAGGGGACACGCAGACAAGGCAGUUAUCAGAUGACUGGGACAGAUGCAGCUUAAAGCUGGAGAGGCCUCGAUGGGCACUUUCCAAGCCUCCAGAGAGACCCAGCCCCUGCACCCCUCAAUCUGG
rnacentral:lncRNA from 1 species